rnacentral:tRNA from 1 species
GCCCGGGUGGCGAAAUCGGUAUACGCAGCGGACUUAAAAUCCGCCGCCUUCACAGGCAUACGGGUUCAAGUCCCGUCCCGGGCACCA